UACGGGGGGGGCAAGCGUUGUUCGGAAUUACUGGCGUAAAGCGCACGUAGGCGGACUUUCAAGUCAGGGGUGAAAUCCUGGAGCUCAACUCCAGAACUGCCUUUGAUACUGGGAAUCUCGAGUCCGGGAGAGGUGAGUGGAACUGCGAGUGUAGAGGUGAAAUUCGUAGAUAUCAGGAGGAACACCGGUGGCGAAGGCGGGUCUCUGGGCAACAACUGACGCUGAGGAGCGAAAGCGUGGGGAGCGAACAGG
rnacentral:rRNA from 1 species